GACAGAGGGUGCGAACGUUGUUCGGAAUUACUGGGCGUAAAGCGCGUGUAGGCGGCAACGCAAGUCGGGCGUGAAAUCCCACGGCUCAACCGUGGAAGUGCACUCGAAACUGCGUAGCUAGAGUCCUGGAGAGGAAGGUGGAAUGCUUGGUGUAGAGGUGAAAUUCGUAGAUAUCAAGCGGAACACCGGUGGCGAAGGCGGCCUUCUGGACAGUGACUGACGCUGAGACGCGAAAGCGUGGGUAGCGAACAGG
rnacentral:rRNA from 1 species